GAAAACGAAAAAUGAUGGCGAAAUUUGACUACGAAUCAAAAGGUCGCAGGUUCGAAUCCUGCCGGGGUCACCA
rnacentral:tRNA from 1 species